rnacentral:rRNA from 1 species
UACGUAGGCAGCAAGCGUUGUUCGGAUUUACUGGGCGUAAAGCGCGUGUAGGCGGACUUGUAAGUUGGGGGUGAAAUCCCGAGGCUCAACCUCGGAACUGCCUCCAAAACUACAAGUCUGGAGCAAGAUAGAGGCAAGUGGAAUUGCGAGUGUAGAGGUGAAAUUCGUAGAUAUUCGCAGGAACACCAGUGGCGAAGGCGACUUGCUGGAUCUUUGCUGACGCUGAGACGCGAAAGCGUGGGGAGCAAACAGG